rnacentral:rRNA from 1 species
GAUGAACGCUAGCUACAGGCUUAACACAUGCAAGUCGAGGGGUAACAAGAGGAAAGCUUGCUUUCCUUGUUGACGACCGGCGCACGGGUGAGUAACGCGUAUCCAACCUGCCUAUAACUAGGGAAUAACCUUGCGAAAGUAAGACUAAUACCCUAUGAUUUCCUUUGAUGACAUCAGAUUAGGAAUAAAGAUUAUCGGUUAUAGAUGGGGAUGCGUCUGAUUAGCUUGUUGGCGGGGUAACGGCCCACCAAGGCAACGAUCAGUAGGGGUUCUGAGAGGAAGGUCCCCCACAUUGGAACUGAGACACGGUCCAAACUCCUACGGGAGGCAGCAGUGAGGAAUAUUGGUCAAUGGGCGGAGGCCUGAACCAGCCAAGUAGCGUGCAGGAUGACGGCCCUAUGGGUUGUAAACUGCUUUUAUACAGGAAUAAAGUUAGCCACGUGUGGUUGUUUGUAGGUACUGUAUGAAUAAGGACCGGCUAAUUCCGUGCCAGCAGCCGCAGUAA